AAGAGAACAGACGCAGGUCAACAUGAUGGACUACAGGACAGGACUGCUGCUUUUAGCUCUUUACUGGACAGGUGUUGAUGGCCAGACUCUAACAGAAUCUGAACCAGUGGUAAAAAGACCAGGAGAAACCCAAAGACUGACCUGUACAGCCUCUGGAUUCUCAUUCAGCAGCCAGCGUUUCUCCUGGAUCAGACAGGCUCCUGGAAAAGGACUAGAGUGGAUUGCUUAUAUCAGCACUUCCAGUACUCCCAUCUAUUACUCCCAGUCAGUCCAGGGUCGAUUCACCAUCUCCAGAGAUGACUCCAGCAGUAAAGUGUAUCUUCAGAUGAACAGUUUAAGGUCUGAGGACACAGCUGUGUAUUACUGUGCUUGA